UAGGGAAUAUUGGUCAAUGGAUGCAAGUCUGAACCAGCCAUGCCGCGUGCAGGAAGAAGGCCUUCUGGGUUGUAAACUGCUUUUGCCAGGGGAUAAAAUAACGGUGCGCCGUUACUUGAAGGUACCUGGUGAAUAAGCCACGGCUAACUACGUGCCAGCAGCCGCGGAAAUACGUAGGUGGCAAGCGUUGUCCGGAUUUAUUGGGUUUAAAGGGUGCGUAGGUGGUCCUAUAAGUCAGUGCUGAAAUAUCCCGGCUUAACCGGGAGGGUGGCAUUGAUACUGCAGGACUUGAGUAAAGUUGAGGUAGGCGGAAUUGACGGUGUAGCGGUGAAAUGCUUAGAUAUCGUCAAGAACACCUAUUGCGUAGGCAGCUUACUAAGCUUUAACUGACACUGAGGCACGAAAGUGUGGGGAUCAAA
rnacentral:rRNA from 1 species